rnacentral:rRNA from 1 species
CAGCCGCCGCGGUAAUACGAAGGGUGCAAGCGUUAAUCGGAAUUACUGGGCGUAAAGCGUGCGUAGGCGGUGAGUUAAGUCUGCUGUGAAAUCCCCGGGCUCAACCUGGGAAUGGCAGUGGAUACUGGCUCGCUAGAGUGUGUCAGAGGGUGGUGGAAUUCCGCGUGUAGCAGUGAAAUGCGUAGAUAUGCGGAGGAACACCGAUGGCGAAGGCAGCCCCCUGGGCCAACACUGACGCUCAUGCACGAAAGCGUGGGGAGCAAACAGGAUUAGAGACCCCGGUAGUCCCUGUCUCUUAUAC